rnacentral:rRNA from 1 species
UACAGAGGUCUCAAGCGUUGUUCGGAUUCAUUGGGCGUAAAGGGUGCGUAGGCGGCGCGGUAAGUCGGGUGUGAAAUCUCGGAGCUUAACUCCGAAACUGCAUUCGAUACUGCCGUGCUUGAGGACUGGAGAGGAGACUGGAAUUUACGGUGUAGCGGUGAAAUGCGUAGAUAUCAGGAGGAACACCUGUGGUGUAGACAGCUUACUGGACCACUUCUGACGCUGAGUGCGCGAAAGCCAGGGGAGCAAACGGG